GACGAACGCUGGCGGCGUGCUUAACACAUGCAAGUCGAACGGAAAGGCCCUGCUUUUGUGGGGUGCUCGAGUGGCGAACGGGUGAGUAACACGUGAGUAACCUGCCCUUGACUUUGGGAUAACUUCAGGAAACUGGGGCUAAUACCGGAUAGGAGCUCCUGCUGCAUGGUGGGGGUUGGAAAGUUUCGGCGGUUGGGGAUGGACUCGCGGCUUAUCAGCUUGUUGGUGGGGUAGUGGCUUACCAAGGCUUUGACGGGUAGCCGGCCUGAGAGGGUGACCGGCCACAUUGGGACUGAGAUACGGACCAGAAUGCUACGGGAGGCAGCAGGGGGGAAUAUUGCACAAUGGGCGGAAGCCUGAUGCAGCAACGCCGCGUGCGGGAUGACGGCCUUCGGGUUGUAAACCGCUUUCGCCUGUGACGAAGCGUGAGUGACGGUAAUGGGUAAAGAAGCACCGGCUAACUACGUG
rnacentral:rRNA from 1 species